AUGGCCUUCCCGUCAUCCCUCAAGGUAGCUGCCAUUGCUGCCGUGCUGGCGCUAGUCAUGUUGUCUUCUUCCCCGUGGCAGGCGGCGGCGCAGAUGCAGUGCAGCAGGUGCACCGAAGACUGCAACUCUUCGUGCGAUGGCUCCAGUAGCAGCGUGAGAUGCAGCAAGACCUGCGCCACUCCAACCUUGCAGUGCGCUAACUGCCAGAGAUGCAUGAACUCUUGCUUAAGCUACUGCCAAUCCACCUGCGCUAAUUAA
rnacentral:rRNA from 1 species